AAACUGAAGUAAAAGGCAUGAUUCAUAGUUUCAAGAUAAGAAAAUCCACAUUCUUCGUAUUUCGUAAUUCGCCCUUUUGUAUCUGCAAAAAAGUAAAAUCCCAACAACACCAAUGACUGAUUCUUCGAUAACGAUUACGAGAAUAUAGUAGUGAAGACAAGGAGGGUGCUGUAAAAGGUGAUGUAUUGAUGAGUCAUACGCAAAAAAUUCGGUAUCGUAUCUAGUCUUAUCUUUAGUUCGGCGACAUUUUGGCGACAGCCUUGGAUGGGAUAGUGAUUAUUGCCUUUUUUCAUACAUUUGCUUGACAGAUUUUUGACAGUCAGUCUCAGUCAGUCACUCUGUGUUCGCAGUUCGGUUCAGGACGUUGGUCUCGGUUAUCGCGAAAAAUAUUCCAGUCAACUUCUUGCUUCGUUUUCGUACUCCUUGGUUGUUGAAUUGAGGGUUUGAGUUUUAGGGUUAACCGAUUAUCCCUUUCCUUUAUGAUAGUUUUUCGGUGUAUUUCGACUUCGAGUUUUCUUUCGUUUUCGUAAGUUUUGUAGUUCCUAUUCCUAGUUCCGUUCGGCAAAUCGGUUAUCGCGGAAAAUGUUCUAGUCAACUUCUUGCUUCAUUUUUGUAUACUCAUUGGAUUGUUGUAAUUGAAAUGAGGGUUGUCCGAUUAACCCUUUCUUUUCCUCUGAGUCUGAUGAUAGUUUUUCGGCGUAUUUCGGCUUCGACUUCGAGUAUUCUUUCGAGCUCGUGAGUUUUGUAUUUGUUUUCGCUUUUCGAACAGUUUCGAAAAUUCAAGUUGGAAAAUCAGAAUUGAGAAGCAGAUUGCAGAAAUAUUCAGGAAAUCGAUGAAGAUGAUAAUUUCAAGAUUUUGCUGGUGGACAUCACUAUGGAUCCGAUAAGAUGAAAUUCACGAAUGUUGAGAUUGUUUCCAAGUAUAAAGUGACCGCGGAUUAUUUGCCUUCGACUUGAAGAAAAUAAAAGAUUAUAAUUAUUCAACUUUUGAACACCCGAAAAAAUGCUUUUGAUGUUUUGAACAUUGACUGAAAUCUUGUACUCUCAACAAAUAACCCACAAGUCUGGAAUUUUCAACGUUGCCAAAAAUUACAACACCGAGGAAUAAUUUUUAUAAUUAUGCUUUCGAAGCCUCUUCAGUUCAAAGUUCAAAAUUUUUCAAAAGCACGAGCAUUUUUGCAUUUUAAAUUUGUUUAUUUUCGUAAUUUUAAUACUGCUCAGCUGUGUAAAAUCUUGUACUCGACCUGCAGUAUGCAAAUAUGAACGAAUAGGUAGAGAGAAGGCCAACGAACCAAAACAAGGCAUACGUAAAACGAUGCCUUGCUAGGUUCGUGACUAGAGGCGAGAAAAUAAAAAUCAUAACAAUCAACCAACAUGUUAAUUGUUAAGCCUAAAGUAUCCAUAUAAAUAUAAGCUAUUUUCUAGCUUAAGAUAUCAUUUUGUAUACCAAGUUUAGUUGUGAAUAAACC